rnacentral:rRNA from 1 species
UACGUAGGGGGCUAGCGUUGUCCGGAUUUAUUGGGCGUAAAGAGCGUGUAGGCGGCCAGGUAGGUCUGCUGUGAAAACUCGAGGCUCAACCUCGAGAUGUCGGCGGAAACCGUCUGGCUAGAGUCCGGAAGAGGAGAGUGGAAUUCCUGGUGGUAGCGGUGAAAUGCGCAGAUAUCAGGAAGAACACCUAUGGCGAAGGCAGCUCUCUGGGACGGUACUGACGCUGAGACGCGAAAGCGUGGGGAGCGAACAGG